rnacentral:tRNA from 2 species
GCCAACGUAGCUCAGUGGUAGAGCAAACGCUUCGUAAGUGUUAGGUCGGCGGUUCGAAUCCGCCCGUUGGCUCCA